AUUGAACGCUGGCGGCAUGCCUUACACAUGCAAGUCGAACGGCAGCACGGGAGCAAUCCUGGUGGCGAGUGGCGAACGGGUGAGUAAUAUAUCGGAACGUGCCCAGUCGUGGGGGAUAACGUAGCGAAAGCUACGCUAAUACCGCAUACGAUCUACGGAUGAAAGCGGGGGAUCGCAAGACCUCGCGCGAUUGGAGCGGCCGAUAUCAGAUUAGCUAGUUGGUGGGUAAAAGCUCACCAAGGCGACGAUCUGUAGCUGGUCUGAGAGGACGACCAGCCACACUGGAACUGAGACACGGUCCAGACUCCUACGGGAGGCAGCAGUGGGGAAUUUUGGACAAUGGGACGCAAGCCUGAUCCAGCAAUGCCGCGUGCAGGAUGAAGGCCUUCGGGUUGUAAACUGCUUUUGUACGGUACGAAACGGUGAGCUCUAAUAAAGACUUGCUAAUGACGGUACCGUAAGAAUAAGCACGGCUAACUACGUGCCACG
rnacentral:rRNA from 1 species